CCUACGGGAGGCAGCAGUGGGGAAUAUUGGACAAUGGGCGCAAGCCUGAUCCAGCAAUGCCGCGUGAGUGAUGAAGGCCUUAGGGUUGUAAAGCUCUUUUACCCGGGAUGAUAAUGACAGUACCGGGAGAAUAAGCCCCGGCUAACUCCGUGCCAGCAGCCGCGGUAAUACUUCGUGCCAGCAGCCGCGGUAAUA
rnacentral:rRNA from 1 species